AGCAGCCGCGGUAAUUCCAGCUCCAAUAGCGUAUAUUAAAGUUGUUGCAGUUAAAAAGCUCGUAGUUGAAUUUCGGGAUCAAUUCGUCGGUCGUGCUUUUGGCACGUACUGGUGUUUAUUGGUUUCUCCCUUCUGACGAACCAUGAUGUCAUUAAUUUGGUGUUAUGGGGAGUUAGGACUGUUACUUUGAAAAAUUAGAGUGUUUAAAGCAGGCAUUAGCUUGAAUACAUUAGCAUGGAAUAAUGAAAUAGGACGUUCGAUCCUAUUUUGUUGGUUCUAGGAUCAACGUAAUGAUUAAUAGGGAUAGUUGGGGCAUUAGUAUUCAAUUGUCAGAGGUGAAAUUCUUGGAUUUAUUGAAGACUAACUGCUGCGAAAGCAUUUGCCAAGGAUGUUUCAUUAAUC
rnacentral:rRNA from 1 species